GGUUAAGCGACUAAGCGUACACGGUGGAUGCCCUGGCAGUCAGAGGCGAUGAAGGACGUGCUAAUCUGCGAUAAGCGUCGGUAAGGUGAUAUGAACCGUUAUAACCGGCGAUUUCCGAAUGGGGAAACCCAGUGUGUUUCGACACACUAUCAUUAACUGAAUCCAUAGGUUAAUGAGGCGAACCGGGGGAACUGAAACAUCUAAGUACCCCGAGGAAAAGAAAUCAACCGAGAUUCCCCCAGUAGCGGCGAGCGAACGGGGAGCAGCCCAGAGCCUGAAUCAGUGUGUGUGUUAGUGGAAGCGUCUGGAAAGGCGCGCGAUACAGGGUGACAGCCCCGUACACAAAAAUGCACAUACUGUGAGCUCGAUGAGUAGGGCGGGACACGUGGUAUCCUGUCUGAAUAUGGGGGGACCAUCCUCCAAGGCUAAAUACUCCUGACUGACCGAUAGUGAACCAGUACCGUGAGGGAAAGGCGAAAAGAACCCCGGCGAGGGGAGUGAAAAAGAACCUGAAACCGUGUACGUACAAGCAGUGGGAGCACGCUUAGGCGUGUGACUGCGUACCUUUUGUAUAAUGGGUCAGCGACUUAUAUUCUGUAGCAAGGUUAACCGAAUAGGGGAGCCGAAGGGAAACCGAGUCUUAACUGGGCGUUAAGUUGCAGGGUAUAGACCCGAAACCCGGUGAUCUAGCCAUGGGCAGGUUGAAGGUUGGGUAACACUAACUGGAGGACCGAACCGACUAAUGUUGAAAAAUUAGCGGAUGACUUGUGGCUGGGGGUGAAAGGCCAAUCAAACCGGGAGAUAGCUGGUUCUCCCCGAAAGCUAUUUAGGUAGCGCCUCGUGAAUUCAUCUCCGGGGGUAGAGCACUGUUUCGGCAAGGGGGUCAUCCCGACUUACCAACCCGAUGCAAACUGCGAAUACCGGAGAAUGUUAUCACGGGAGACACACGGCGGGUGCUAACGUCCGUCGUGAAGAGGGAAACAACCCAGACCGCCAGCUAAGGUCCCAAAGUCAUGGUUAAGUGGGAAACGAUGUGGGAAGGCCCAGACAGCCAGGAUGUUGGCUUAGAAGCAGCCAUCAUUUAAAGAAAGCGUAAUAGCUCACUGGUCGAGUCGGCCUGCGCGGAAGAUGUAACGGGGCUAAACCAUGCACCGAAGCUGCGGCAGCGACACUAUGUGUUGUUGGGUAGGGGAGCGUUCUGUAAGCCUGUGAAGGUGUACUGUGAGGUAUGCUGGAGGUAUCAGAAGUGCGAAUGCUGACAUAAGUAACGAUAAAGCGGGUGAAAAGCCCGCUCGCCGGAAGACCAAGGGUUCCUGUCCAACGUUAAUCGGGGCAGGGUGAGUCGACCCCUAAGGCGAGGCCGAAAGGCGUAGUCGAUGGGAAACAGGUUAAUAUUCCUGUACUUGGUGUUACUGCGAAGGGGGGACGGAGAAGGCUAUGUUGGCCGGGCGACGGUUGUCCCGGUUUAAGCGUGUAGGCUGGUUUUCCAGGCAAAUCCGGAAAAUCAAGGCUGAGGCGUGAUGACGAGGCACUACGGUGCUGAAGCAACAAAUGCCCUGCUUCCAGGAAAAGCCUCUAAGCAUCAGGUAACAUCAAAUCGUACCCCAAACCGACACAGGUGGUCAGGUAGAGAAUACCAAGGCGCUUGAGAGAACUCGGGUGAAGGAACUAGGCAACAUGGUGCCGUAACUUCGGGAGAAGGCACGCUGAUAUGUAGGUGAAGUCCCUCGCGGAUGGAGCUGAAAUCAGUCGAAGAUACCAGCUGGCUGCAACUGUUUAUUAAAAACACAGCACUGUGCAAACACGAAAGUGGACGUAUACGGUGUGACGCCUGCCCGGUGCCGGAAGGUUAAUUGAUGGGGUCAGCGCAAGCGAAGCUCUUGAUCGAAGCCCCGGUAAACGGCGGCCGUAACUAUAACGGUCCUAAGGUAGCGAAAUUCCUUGUCGGGUAAGUUCCGACCUGCACGAAUGGCGUAAUGAUGGCCAGGCUGUCUCCACCCGAGACUCAGUGAAAUUGAACUCGCUGUGAAGAUGCAGUGUACCCGCGGCAAGACGGAAAGACCCCGUGAACCUUUACUAUAGCUUGACACUGAACAUUGAGCCUUGAUGUGUAGGAUAGGUGGGAGGCUUUGAAGUGUGGACGCCAGUCUGCAUGGAGCCGACCUUGAAAUACCACCCUUUAAUGUUUGAUGUUCUAACGUUGACCCGUGAUCCGGGUUGCGGACAGUGUCUGGUGGGUAGUUUGACUGGGGCGGUCUCCUCCUAAAGAGUAACGGAGGAGCACGAAGGUUGGCUAAUCCUGGUCGGACAUCAGGAGGUUAGUGCAAUGGCAUAAGCCAGCUUGACUGCGAGCGUGACGGCGCGAGCAGGUGCGAAAGCAGGUCAUAGUGAUCCGGUGGUUCUGAAUGGAAGGGCCAUCGCUCAACGGAUAAAAGGUACUCCGGGGAUAACAGGCUGAUACCGCCCAAGAGUUCAUAUCGACGGCGGUGUUUGGCACCUCGAUGUCGGCUCAUCACAUCCUGGGGCUGAAGUAGGUCCCAAGGGUAUGGCUGUUCGCCAUUUAAAGUGGUACGCGAGCUGGGUUUAGAACGUCGUGAGACAGUUCGGUCCCUAUCUGCCGUGGGCGCUGGAGAACUGAGGGGGGCUGCUCCUAGUACGAGAGGACCGGAGUGGACGCAUCACUGGUGUUCGGGUUGUCAUGCCAAUGGCACUGCCCGGUAGCUAAAUGCGGAAGAGAUAAGUGCUGAAAGCAUCUAAGCACGAAACUUGCCCCGAGAUGAGUUCUCCCUGACUCCUUGAGAGUCCUGAAGGAACGUUGAAGACGACGACGUUGAUAGGCCGGGUGUGUAAGCGCAGCGAUGCGUUGAGCUAACCGGUACUAAUGAACCGUGAGGCUUAACCUU
rnacentral:rRNA from 1 species